CUACUCUACCCAGCCGGCACCGCUCGGUUAGCUGACGCUGAGGUAGCCGGGGAGGUGCGUCCCGUCGGUCCCCCGCCCCAGAGCGGCCGCAGUCCCGGCUCCCGGAGUGGUGGUCCCUGCCCCGUCCAGAGAAUAACAUGGGGAGGCCGAGGAGCCUGCGCUGCGGCGGACGACCAGCCCCGCCGGCGGUCGCUGAGGCUGGGGUUCCAAUGCCAGUCUUCCAGUGCCAGUGCUGCUUCCCAGCCCACACAUCCCUCUCACCACUGCUGCAUCCUAAGGAAGUCAGCAACCUUCAGGGGGUACUUGUUCCUGGAGCCAGAGUAGAGGAGGGUGGCGCUUCCAAGGCUGUGGGCAUCCAAAGAAAGAGUGCUGUCCAUCCUCCUCCUGCCUACUGAUCUCCCAUCAGCAGAACCCCACUGGAGACCUACUGGCAGCUUUUUUUAGGGCCGCUCUUGAAUCAGAGCUACAGCUGCCAGCUUAUAUCACAGCUACAGCAACAUAGGAUCCAAGCUAUGUCUGCGACCUACAAUGCGGCUCACGGCAACGCGGGAUCUCUAACCCACUGAGCAAAGCCAGGGAUCAAAACUACAUCCUCAUGGGUACUAGUCAGAUUCAUUUCCACUACACCACAACAGGAACUCCCUACAUUUGUUUUGUGGUAACAAUUACCUGGUAAAUUUCCAUCUUCCAAUAGAGUUGUGCUACUCUCUUUCACAGUUUUCUUACUGUAUUUUUGAGUAGGUAUUGUGCAUAUAACUUUCAUGGUCCUCAAAAUUAAAUCCUCUGUUAUUAUUAGGAGGUGAAGAGAAGGACCCGGAGAGCUUUAUAGAAUUAGUUCUCAUGGGCUCUUUCCUCCGUUGCUAUAGCAAAAAAAAAAGAAAAAAAAAAAAUAUUUCCUUAAAAUACAGCAACUCUGUGAAGUCAUGCUUCCUGUGCCUCCAGGUACCUAACCAGGCUCUGAAAAGCUUCUACGUAUAGUUCUCAACUUCCUGAUUUAUUCACACACUGCAGAGACCCAGGCUUUGCCUUACAAAAUAAUAUGAUCACUUUUAGAAAGUUAUUACUGGUGGUUUCUAAGAUCUACUAUCUCUGAUUAGGCACUUCGUAUCUUUCUCUCUCUUUAGUGUUUAGACCCUAAUCAAUCUCAGUUCUUUCCCAGAAUGUCCUCUUGAAUUCCUACAUAGAUUUGCUGCACAGUGCUUAUGGUCUCAGUUGCUGACUACAGCAUUGACUGUAAUUUUGGAGUGUUGGGGUUUUGUUAGUCAGCUGUUUGCUGAAAAUUCAUUUUCUGUGACCUUAUUUUUUUUCUUCUUGUUGUUCUGGAUAGAUUUCAGGAGAAGGAAUGAAAAGUUUCAGAACUUAACAGACUCCCAUGUUCUCAUAGAAUGAUGAUAUAAUUUAUUUUUCUCCCAUGUUCUCAAAAGAAAUGAAAAAAUUCUCUGGAAGUACUAUGAUUAUUGGCUUUAGAUAAUGAACGAGAAUGUUCUAGUUAUCACCAGCCUAAUUCAAGCCAAUUAUAUAGAUUUUUCAUACCUACUAUAACAUUAAGGCUAUGUCUAGAAGAUAAUGUCACAAAGUAAUUUAAUGGAAAAUCAUUUAAGGCCUACAGUUCAGAUAAAUUAAGUUUUAAGCAAAAGAGGUUCUGAAAGAAGUAGA
ensembl:lncRNA